UCUAACUUACAUCUAAGUGACAGCAGCGC
rnacentral:sRNA from 1 species